CAGGGAUGUAUACGGCGAGCACUUUUCCACCACAGGAAAGAUAUUCACAAGUCGGAUAAUGCCUGAAAUUACACUUGGAAAUGAUGGGAACCUGUAUAAACACACAAGCUGUGGUUCGUGUUGGAAGGAAAGGUCCCUGCCAGAGGGAAGGUUAAGGUGCGAAGGUCACUGUGGACGGUGGGUCCCUCCUGACAGACUAAUUUGUGCAUAUAAACUAACUGUACCAUGCAAGAGUCAAAACUCGUCAAGACACUUGUUUCCACUGGAAAGAUUCUGUGUCCUGAGUGAGGAACAGCUGUCCACAUACAAGUGACAAGAUACAGAAUGUCCUCUUAGCCAUAGUGCUGACGUCCUCCAAGUGAUCCGAGCUCCAUGGAAGGGCUGAG
rnacentral:lncRNA from 1 species